CAACAGACUGAAGGCCUCGGGUACAUUUUAUCUGGUUAACACCAUGGUGGACAUGCCUGCUGUAAGGUGUCCCCUUAGGAAGUAGGCAUUUGCGACCACAGCGGAGGACACGGACCCUGUAAAUGGCAUAACCUUACUUUGCCUUGUAUCCCAGCCUUUGCGCUUCAUCACACCGGGGAUCUGGAGAGCCCUAUGCAGCUCAGAGAGCUGGCGGUAAUGCCCGCAGUGGACCUUCAGAAGAAAGCCUAUCACACAGGGUUGCUUCUUCUUCCAUAGCUCCUGGAUAUAUUUGUAUGUACUCAUCUUGGCUCACCUGAUGGCUGUCUCCAGAGGAAAGAAGUCUUUUUUUUCCCCACAGAUGAGCAUGGGACCACCAUUGACGAGUUGCCUGGUCUUAAACAUAGCAACUUCAGUGGUUCUCCUGGUUAGCCUCCGUUGUUAACAUGACACAGCACAGAUUUAUCUGAAGGAAUCUCAGCUGGGUGAUUGCUUUAAUCAGAUGGACUUGUGGGGCCAUUUUCUUCACUGACAAUUGAUGAAGGAGGUCCAGGCCCACUGUGGGUGGGGUGGUCCUUGGGCACAGGGACCUGGGCUAUAUAAGAAAGGUAGCUGAAAGGGAACAGGCCACUAAGUAGCAUUCCUCCAUGGUGCCAGUAGUCUUCCAUCUCCAGGAACUACUUGGCCCAGAUACUUGUACACUGAGUGUUCACUGAGCAGGAGUUGUUUUUCUAAACAAGCCACCUCCUCAUCUUCAUUAAGAAGAAUACAUUUCUUGUAGGGGCACAAGGUUCCUGGAAAGAAAACGAGUGGUACACUGAAUGCUCUCUUCCGAGAGAUACAUCCUGGAGGAAGGAAAUAAUGAUGUCACUGGCCAAGGGCCUCAACACAGCCAGAGCACCUCUCCACUGUCCCUUUCCCCCAGACCAACUCCUGUCCAUCUCUCCUCAGAAAAGAGCAGGCCUCCAAGAGACAACAAUGAAACACAGGACAACAAGAUACAAUAAAGCAAGGCAAGAGCUGUCACACCAAAGCUGGACAAGGCAACCAAACUAACAGGAGGAGACGAGUCCCAAGAGUAGGCAAAAGAGUCAAAGACAUGCGUGUUCCCACUAUUAGAAGUUUCACAAGACACCAAGCUAACAGCCAUGACAUCUACACAAAGGGUCUGGUGCUGACCCACAUGGGCCCCAUGCAUGCUGCUUCAGUCUCUGUGAGCCCAUGGGAGCCCUUGGUUGAUUCAAUGGGAUGUGUUCACCUGGUGUCCUGUAUCUCCUCUGACCCCUAGAAUUCUUCAGCUAACUUCUCUGCAGGGUUCCCUAAUCUCUGAGGGGAAGGGCCCUCGGAGGCCUCCAAUUUAAACGCUCUCCAUAAGCUGACAUUUACUUUCCAAUCAUGUUAGUCUUCAGUUUUCUCUUGUUCUUCCACCAACAGUGUGUUAUCACCACCGUGCAACCGUGACCUUCACUUUAUUUUCUCAUCCAUAAGUGAUGCAAAUGGAUUAAACGGCAUUAAAAACUCUUCUUUCUAGAAUUCUGAAAGUGUAUAUGACUCCUGCAGCCAAGAAGCCUCUGGUCUCUCAGCAGUCAAAACUAGGCACAAGGUAAAUGUAUGUCUAAUUUUCAAGAUCUGGGAACAUUAGUUUACAUCAUGGAUCUGACAACUGCAACCAAAGUACUGUUUGCGAUUAAAGUGAAAGAAA
rnacentral:lncRNA from 1 species